rnacentral:rRNA from 1 species
UAUCAAUAAGCGGAGGAAAAGAAACUAACAAGGAUUCCCCUAGUAACUGCGAGUGAAGCGGGAAAAGCUCAAAUUUAAAAUCUGGCGGUCUCUGGCCGUCCGAGUUGUAAUCUAGAGAAGUAAUGCCCGUGCUGGACCGUGUAUAAGUCUCCUGGGAUGGGGCGUCAUAGAGGGUGAGAAUCCCGUCUUUGACACGGACUACCAGUGCAUUGUGGUAUGCUCUCAAAGAGUCGAGUUGUUUGGGAAUGCAGCUCAAAAUGGGUGGUAAAUUCCAUCUAAAGCUAAAUAUUGGCGAGAGACCGAUAGCGAACAAGUACCGUGAGGGAAAGAUGAAAAGAACUUUGGAAAGAGAGUUAAACAGUACGUGAAAUUGCUGAAAGGGAAACGCUUGAAGUCAGUCGCGUUGGCCGGGGAUCAGCCUUGCUUUUGCAUGGUGUACUUUCUGGUUGACGGGUCAGCAUCAAUUUUGACCGCUGGAAAAAGACCUGGGGAAUGUGGCAGCUUCGGCUGUGUUAUAGCCCCUAGUCGCAUACAGUGGUUGGGAUUGAGGAACUCAGCACGCCGCAAGGCCGGGUUUCGACCACGUUCGUGCUUAGGAUGCUGGCAUAAUGGCUUUAAGCGACCCGUCUUGAAACACGGACCAAGGAGUCUAACAUGCCUGCGAGUAUUUGGGUGGAAAACCCAAGUGCGUAAUGAAAGUGAAAGUUGAGAUCCCUGUCGUGGGGAGCAUCGACGCCCGGACCAGAACUUUUGGGACGGAUCCGCGGUGGAGCAUGUAUGUUGGGACCCGAAAGAUGGUGAACUAUGCCUGAAUAGGGUGAAGCCAGAGGAAACUCUGGUGGAGGCUCGUAGCGAUUCUGACGUGCAAAUCGAUCGUCAAAUUUGGGUAUAGGGGCGAAAGACUAAUCGAACAUCUAGUAGCUGGUCCC